UACGGAGGGGGCUAGCGUUGUUCGGAAUUACUGGGCGUAAAGCGCGCGUAGGCGGACCUGCAAGUCGGGGGUGAAAGCCCGAGGCUCAACCUCGGAACUGCCUUCGAUACUGCGGGUCUCGAGUCCGGGAGAGGUGAGUGGAAUUCCUAGUGUAGAGGUGAAAUUCGUAGAUAUUAGGAAGAACACCAGUGGCGAAGGCGGCUCACUGGCCCGGUACUGACGCUGAGGCGCGAAAGCGUGGGGAGCAAAGCAGG
rnacentral:rRNA from 1 species